CGACUCCAGCCGCUCCUACAAGACCAUCGAGGACCUGCAGGAAAAGAUAUUCUCGGGGCCACCACUGAGAACCGCAGGACUGUCCCGCAGAUCGACAACGCCCGCGUGGCCGCAGAGG
rnacentral:pre_miRNA from 1 species